rnacentral:rRNA from 1 species
CCUACGGGUGGCACCAGUGGGGAAUAUUGCACAAUGGGCGCAAGCCUGAUGCAGCCAUGCCGCGUGUAUGAAGGAGGCCUUCGGGUUGUAAAGUACUUUCAGCGGCGAGGAAGGUGUUGUGGUUAAUAACCGCAGCAAUUGACGUUACCCGCAGAAGAAGCACCGGCUAACUCCGUGCCAGCAGCCGCGGUAAUACGGAGGGUGCAAGCGUUAAUCGGAAUUACUGGGCGUAAAGCGCACGCAGGCGGUCUGUCAAGUCGGAUGUGAAAUCCCCGGGCUCAACCUGGGAACUGCAUUCGAAACUGGCAGGCUAGAGUCUUGUAGAGGGGGGUAGAAUUCCAGGUGUAGCGGUGAAAUGCGUAGAGAUCUGAAGGAAUACCAGUGGCGAAGGCGGCCCCCUGGACAAAGACUGACGCUCAGAUGCGAAAGCGUGGGGAGCAAACAGGAUUAGAUACCCGCGUAGUC